AUGCUAUACUGAUUUUAACCGCAGACAAUAGGUAGCCCCUUAGGGGCGUAAAUCCUAUCGAGGGAAUUGGCUUAUGGCUAAUAGCAGAUGGCUAAUUAUUAUUUGUUCUGCGGUAAUGCGCAGAUUUUUUGUUUAUUAA
rfam:Candidatus Buchananbacteria bacterium RBG_13_39_9 RBG_13_scaffold_1120, whole genome shotgun sequence.